rnacentral:rRNA from 1 species
CCAAGGAGUCUAACAUGUGCGCAAGUCGUAGGGUCAGCUCGCAGAGCUAAACCCGAAGGCGAAAUGAAAGUGAAGGAAACCGGGACUUCAAAUUCUUCGGAGUUUGUUUUAGUCCACGGACCGAGGCGGGAUCCCGCGCUCGGCUUCGUAAACCGAGUGAUAAUCCGGGUCGGCUCGUUUUUUUUCCUUUCCGAAAGGGGGGAGAGAAAAACCCGGGGGCGCACCGCCGGCCCGUCUCGAUCGCAUAGGGCGGUGGGGUUGCAACCCAACCGGUCGAGGGGAAUUUAUUUCUCUCUUCCGGGAGGGGGAACGGCCUCCCGUCCGACCUAGUCGAUGAGGCGGAGCGAGAGCGCACACGUUGGGACCCGAAAGAUGGUGAACUAUGCCCGGGCAGGACGAAGCCAGAGGAAACUCUGGUGGAGGUCCGCAGCGAUUCUGACGUGCAAAUCGAUCGUCGGACCUGGGUAUAGGGGCGAAAGACUAAUCGAACCGUCUA